UCGCUCCCUUUUUCUUUCCAGUCAGGAACGACCACAGAGAUACUGACUUAGCUUGACAAUGUUUACAGUAGACGUUAUUUAAACUGUAGUAUAAAUGAUUUUGAGACAUGAAGGCAGUUGCAGAAAUACUCUAAGAGACUCUCUUUUCAGCGCUGAGAAAUUGUUCACUAGAUAACAGUAACUCAUAAGGCUAUCUGCAGAGAUGUUUUGGCCAGCUGCCCAUAUUCACUUCAUCACACAUUUAAGUUUAAUUAGACUUUGCAGACUGAUGCAUUAUAAAGCCAAAAGGAGGCUACUGGGAUUGCCCAGGCUGACCUUCUUUCAACAAGAGCCAGAGAACUUUGCUGAAUAAAUCCCUGUUCCAAGAACAAAAGUCUUUUCAGCCAGGUAUCCAUUUUUGUAGUAAAAUCUGUGGUGAGGAGUUGGAGUGCUUAUUAUUACUGUUAGCUGUCUGUGACUGCUGAGGCCUGUCUGGGCUUCUUGUGUUUUCCACUGCGGAGAAAUGCCUGCCUGUGCUGUCUUGGCACCCUGCUUAGGCCCACAGUCUGCUCCCACCCCUAUGUGCCAGGUUGGGAGCAGCCUACAAUGAAGGUACUUUUCUUCAUUUUUCUUUUAUUUCACACCCUCAGAGAUGAAGAUUUGAAAAUCAGCCUUUCCGGCCUUCAGUCUUGGGGUAGAACUGGUAUCAUUACAGCAUCAGGCAGUAGGGAAGUGUGGGUUGAAGUGCCACCUCUGUGACUGAAUUCCUGUAUGGGCCCAGAGCAGCCUCGCUCUUCCUCUGGAUCCUGCUCCUCCUUCAGCCCUUCCAGAGGAACUGUGCCUGUGUAUGGGAGCCAAGUGGUUCCACAUGAUGCCAAAACAGGCAGUAGUUACCAUUCCCAGCUGCUGCAAAUUUUCUCUAAAUCAGCAGACAUGGCGUUUCCUCUGCAUAUGCCAGCAAAUCCUCCUCUCACCAUCAGAACUUACCAGCAAAAUGAAUGCCUGUAGAAUCAGUAACACCAAUGUGCAGAACUUCUGAAGGAACUUAAUAUGCCACAGAAAAGAUGGUAUUCAGUUCACCCAAACUAGGAUCAGAAGCUACUGAUGGCAUCAUUUAAAAACUUUUCAGAAACAGAAGCAGUUGGGAGAUCUUGUUUUCAAGUUCAAGAUAUUUGAAGCAAUGUUCUUUGUGCGCUUUGUCUGAAUCGCUUUAUGCUGGAGACAAA